CCUACGGGGUGCAGCAGUGGGGAAUUUUGGACAAUGGGCGCAAGCCUGAUCCAGCUAUUCCGCGUGUGGGAAGACGGCCUUCGGGUUGUAAACCACUUUUGUAGAGAACGAAAAGUCUAUUGAUAAUACCGAUAGAUGAUGACGGUACUCUAAGAAUAAGCACCGGCUAACUACGUGCCAGCAGCCGCGGUAAUACGUAGGGUGCGAGCGUUAAUCGGAAUUACUGGGCGUAAAGGGUGUGCAGGCGGUUUUGCAAGAUGGAUGUGAAAGCCCCGGGCUUAACCUGGGAAAGCCAUACAUGACUACAAGACUAGAGUGCGUCAGAGGGGGGUGGAAUUCCAAGUGUAGCAGUGAAAUGCGUAGAUAUUUGGAAGAACACCGAUGGCGAAGGCAGCCCCCUGGGACGCAACUGACGCUCAUACACGAAAGCGUGGGGAGCAAACAGGAUUAGAUACCCCGGUAGUC
rnacentral:rRNA from 1 species